rnacentral:rRNA from 1 species
ACUCAAAUGAAUUGACGGGGACCCGCACAAGCGGUGGAGCAUGUGGUUUAAUUCGACGCAACGCGAAGAACCUUACCUAGGCUAGAAUGUGAGGGAAGAGAGGGUAAUUCCGAUCGCCAGUUUACUGGCCCAAAACAAGGUGCUGCAUGGCUGUCGUCAGCUCGUGUCGUGAGAUGUUGGGUUAAGUCCCGCAACGAGCGCAACCCUUAUCAACAGUUGCCAUCAUUAAGUUGGGAACUCUGUUGAGACUGCCGUUGAUAAAACGGAGGAAGGUGGGGAUGAUGUCAAGUCAUCAUGGCCUUUAUGCUUAGGGCUACACACGUGCUACAAUGGAUGGUACAAAACGUCGCGAUCCCGUAAGGGGGAGCUAAUCGCAAAAACCAUUCUCAGUUCGGAUUGAAGUCUGCAACUCGACUUCAUGAAGUUGGAAUCGCUAGUAAUCGCGGAUCAGAACGCCGCGGUGAAUACGUUCCCGGGUCUUGUACACACCGCCCGU